rnacentral:ncRNA from 2 species
AUUUGUCUUCAAGGCAGGGUGAGAUUCCCGACCGGCGGUAUAGCCCGCAACCCGCAUGAGCGGUGGAAUCCAGUGCAAUUCUGGAUGCCGACAGUAAAGUCUGGUAUAGAGAAGAUUAGA